UAUAGCUCAAGCAGUAGAGUGCAUGCUUAGCAUGCAUGAGGUCCUGGGUUCAAUCCACAGUA
rnacentral:tRNA from 1 species